UUGGAUACUGUUCUCAGGGCUUCCGAUACUUCUGGCAAGCCCCACAUAUACAUAUACUCCAGGUUUUAGAUAAAAAUGAACCGACGAGUGAAACUCUGAAGGCACUCUAAUGGAAUUUCAUCAAUCCACACAACGUAGCUACACCUGCCAACCGUUCAUCGAGCCACGCCCUACAGAUCGACUUCUAAGAAUCUCAAUCCAACUCAACAAACAAAUUAACCUCUGCUAAGUUCAGCAGUGCCAUCCGGAGAAGUGGUGAUAAAAAAUCAGUUGAACCAUCGAUCAAUCGAUAUGAAAUCCCAAUUCCAGCAAACACUUCAUAAUAUCAUUUCAACAGCCUCAUCUCGACUUCUCAAUCAAAAUCAAUGAUUGCCGUGGUUAUUAAUCAGAAAAAUGGGCGACAGCGAGGGUUUUGCCACAAGUUGGAAAGCACUUGGGCACUAGCCGUGUCCAUCUCUUCAAACACCAAAGGAAGACGCGAAAGAGUAGCAAACCAUCUGUUCAAAAUUAUGAACUAAAAACGAAAGCAAUGGAUGAUGAAAUUGACUUACCUCGGAAGAUGUAGGAGAGUUAUCAGUACAACUACCAACGGUAGUACUCCAGGCCACAUUGCGGCGGCCUGAAAACAAACGAUGCACACACAUGAAAACCACCCCAUUCUACCUCAUCUCCUCCGAUCACAAAUAAAGAGGGUGUCCCGAGUUUAGCUAGGGGUAACAUGGGGGUAUACGUCAGAAUCUGUUUCUUCUUCCAUCAAGUGUUCCGGAUAUCCGAUUGAUGGGAGAUAUAUGAAAUCAUAGCUCGUUUUCCAAUAAAUUGCCAAGCCGUACUAUAUACUAUAUUUCACACACCGAUUGGAUCUGCCUGGCCCCCGCCCAUUCGUUAAAAAUUUCACAUCUACAUAUAUUUUAUUUUUAACUAUAUCUCCUCAACUAAUGAUGUACCUGAAAUUACUGAUGACGCAAUAAAAAUUCACGACUACUACCGCACCAUCAGUGAAUGACGUUGUUCCCCUUUGUUUUCUUCAUAAUUGGUCAUUUUUAUCUUGUAUAACUGGCAUUAUGAUAAUACAUUCAUUAAUUUUCUCAUCGUAAUGUCACUUGAUAUCGAGGAUCACAAAAUCCGAUUAGUCCUCUCGAUCAAUUAUCAGAGCCGCAAGGGCUUUGUAAAAGAGAAAGACCAGUAACUCCCUAACGUUGUAAGAUCAUCAGGUGUCUCAUU